GUGUGGAUACAGUGAAAGGGGAAAUGGGCGAGCAACACCAAAAGUCAUGUGGCCAGGACUUAAUAAAAGCCUGAAGUUUUGAAGAUGUGGUAAAUGGGAAUCAGCCAGAGAUGGAGGCUAUGGAAAUGGAAGAGAGUAUCAAAAAUUGGAUUCAUCCCUCUGGGAGACUUGAGAAAGAUGUAAAAUCCAAGGAAUGUAUCACCCCCUUAAGGAAAUAAAUAGUUCCAACAUCGUGAAUACUCAAAGGAAGAACGGACAUAUUUUUGUGAGAUAUAUCAUAAAACAAGCAUUAGUCUGUUUAUUCUUAUUAGAACAUCCCUUUCUUGUUUGGAUCAUGUAAAAUCCAUUUGGAUAGCUAAAUUUGCUUCUUGUGCAAUACAUCAUAAAACUAAUGAUGUUCUGUAAUUUUAUG